UCAGAGAUAGUGUAAUGGUAGCACAGCUGAGUUCCAAAGCUGCUAGUUCAGGUUCAAAUCCUGAUCUCUGAC